rnacentral:rRNA from 1 species
UACGAGGGGGGCGAGCGUUGUUCGGAAUUAUUGGGCGUAAAGGGUGCGUAGGCGGCCUGACAAGUCUGAUGUGAAAUCCCUGGGCUCAACCCAGGGCCUGCAUCGGAAACUGUCGGGCUUGAGUAUGGGAGAGGUGAGUGGAAUUCCUGGUGUAGCGGUGAAAUGCGUAGAUAUCAGGAGGAACACCUGUGGCGAAAGCGGCUCACUGGACCAUAACUGACGCUGAUGCACGAAAGCUAGGGGAGCAAACAGG